rnacentral:rRNA from 1 species
GACGAACGCUGGCGGCGUGCUUAACACAUGCAAGUCGAACGGUGAAGCGCCUUCCUUUUUGGUGGGUGUGGAUGAGUGGCGAACGGGUGAGUAACACGUGAGUAACCUGCCCCCUUCUUCUGGAUAACCGCAUGAAAGUGUGGCUAAUACGGGAUAUUCUGGGUCUGUCGCAUGAUGGGUCUGGGAAAGAUAUUGUUUCGGUGGGGGAUGGGCUCGCGGCCUAUCAGCUUGUUGGUGGGGUGAUGGCCUACCAAGGCGGUGACGGGUAGCCGGCCUGAGAGGGUGGACGGUCACACUGGGACUGAGACACGGCCCAGACUCCUACGGGAGGCAGCAGGGGGGAAUAUUGCACAAUGGGCGCAAGCCUGAGGCAGCGACGCCGCGUGAGGGAUGGAGGCCUUCGGGUUGUGAACCUCUUUCGCCAGUGAAGCAGGCCUGCCUCGUUUGUGGGUGGGUUGACGGUAGCUGGAUAGAAGCGCCGGCUAACUACGUG